AUUGAACGCUGGCGGAAUGCUUUACACAUGCAAGUCGAACGGCAGCACGGACUUCGGUCUGGUGGCGAGUGGCGAACGGGUGAGUAAUACAUCGGAACGUGCCCAGUCGUGGGGGAUAACGUAGCGAAAGCUACGCUAAUACCGCAUACGAUCUAAGGAUGAAAGCGGGGGGUCGCAAGACCUCGCGCGAUUGGAGCGGCCGAUGGCAGAUUAGGUAGUUGGUGGGGUAAAGGCUCACCAAGCCGACGAUCUGUAGCUGGUCUGAGAGGACGACCAGCCACACUGGGACUGAGACACGGCCCAGACUCCUACGGGAGGCAGCAGUGGGGAAUUUUGGACAAUGGGCGAAAGCCUGAUCCAGCAAUGCCGCGUGCAGGAUGAAGGCCUUCGGGUUGUAAACUGCUUUUGUACGGAACGAAAAGCUCUGGGUUAAUACCCUGGGGUCAUGACGGUACCGUAAGAAUAAGCACCGGCUAACUACGUGCCAGCCGCCGCUGUAA
rnacentral:rRNA from 1 species